rnacentral:rRNA from 1 species
UGGGGAAUUUUGGACAAUGGGCGAAAGCCUGAUCCAGCAAUGCCGCGUGUGUGAAGAAGGCCUUCGGGUUGUAAAGCACUUUUGUCCGGAAAGAAAUCCUUGGCUCUAAUACAGUCGGGGGAUGACGGUACCGGAAGAAUAAGCACCGGCUAACUACGUGCCAGCAGCCGCGGUAAUACGUAGGGUGCAAGCGUUAAUCGGAAUUACUGGGCGUAAAGCGUGCGCAGGCGGUUUGCUAAGACCGAUGUGAAAUCCCCGGGCUCAACCUGGGAACUGCAUUGGUGACUGGCAGGCUAGAGUAUGGCAGGAGGGGGGUAGAAUUCCACGUGUAGCAGUGAAAUGCGUAGAGAUGUGGAGGAAUACCGAUGGCGAAGGCAGCCCCCUGGGCCAAUACUGACGCUCAUGCACGAAAGCGUGGGGAGCAAACAGGAUUAGAUACCCUGGUAGUCCACGCCCUAAACGAUGUCAACUAGUUGUUGGGGAUUCAUUUCCUUAGUAACGUAGCUAACGCGUGAAGUUGACCGCCUGGGGAGUACGGUCGCAAGAUUAAAACUCAAAGGAAUUGACGGGGAUCAUAGCUGUUUCC